rnacentral:lncRNA from 1 species
UAAGAAUGAGCAUAAGAGCAUUGUGAGGUGCAUCAUUGGUUAUACUUAUUUAUUCAUAACUGGAUUUUUCCAUGAGCUAUUCUCUUAAAAUUGGUCAUGCAUGCCUCUCUAAAAUUGUUGUUAUGCACAACUCUCUACUCUAUUCCCAUGUUCACAUUGAGGAAGACACAGGAAGGAGGCGGUAACACAUUUCAUAGGGACAACAUGACAGAAUAGGGAGGAUAGAGCGAAUUGGAUAGGAAUAUGGAAGGGGAGGAAGAGAGUGCCGAGCAAACG